rnacentral:rRNA from 1 species
AUUGAACGCUGGCGGCAGGCCUAACACAUGCCAGUCGAGCGGUAGAGAGAAGCUUGCUUCUCUUGAGAGCGGCGGACGGGUGAGUAAUGCCUAGGAAUCUGCCUGGUAGUGGGGGAUAACGUUCGGAAACGGACGCUAAUACCGCAUACGUCCUACGGGAGAAAGCGGGGGACCUUCGGGCCUUGCGCUAUCAGAUGAGCCUAGGUCGGAUUAGCUAGUUGGUGGGGUAAUGGCUCACCAAGGCGACGAUCCGUAACUGGUCUGAGAGGAUGAUCAGUCACACUGGAACUGAGACACGGUCCAGACUCCUACGGGAGGCAGCAGUGGGGAAUAUUGGACAAUGGGCGAAAGCCUGAUCCAGCCAUGCCGCGUGUGUGAAGAAGGUCUUCGGAUUGUAAAGCACUUUAAGUUGGGAGGAAGGGCAGUAAAUUAAUACUUUGCUGUUUUGACGUUACCGACAGAAUAAGCACCGGCUAACUCUGUG